ACUCCUACGGGAGGCAGCAGUGGGGAAUAUUGCACAAUGGGGGAAACCCUGAUGCAGCCAUGCCGCGUGUGUGAAGAAGGCCUUCGGGUUGUAAAGCACUUUCAGUAGGGAGGAAGGUAGUGUAGUUAACACCUGCACUAUUUGACGUUACCUACAGAAGAAGCACCGGCUAACCCGUGCAGCAGCGCGUAGUACGAGGGGUGCGAGCGUUAAUCGGAAUUACUGGGCGUAAAGCGCAUGCAGGCGGCCUGUUAAGUCAGAUGUGAAAGCCCGGGGCUUAACCUCGGAAUUGCAUUUGAAACUGGUAGGCUAGAGUCUUGUAGAGGGGGGUAGAAUUUCAGGUGUAGCGGUGAAAUGCGUAGAGAUCUGAAGGAAUACCAGUGGCGAAGGCGGCCCCCUGGACAAAGACUGACGCUCAGAUGCGAAAGCGUGGGGAGCAAACAGGAUUAGAUACCCUGGUAGGAUAG
rnacentral:rRNA from 1 species